rnacentral:rRNA from 1 species
UACGAAGGGGGCUAGCGUUGCUCGGAAUCACUGGGCGUAAAGCGCACGUAGGCGGCUUUUUAAGUCAGGGGUGAAAUCCUGGAGCUCAACUCCAGAACUGCCUUUGAUACUGAGAAGCUUGAGUCCGGGAGAGGUGAGUGGAACUGCGAGUGUAGAGGUGAAAUUCGUAGAUAUUCGCAAGAACACUAGUGGCGAAGGCGGCUCUCUGGGACGGUACUGACGCUGAGGCGCGAAAGCGUGGGGAGCAAACAGG